GACGUAGGGCGCGAGCGUUGUCCGGAUUUAUUGGGCGUAAAGAGCUCGUAGGCGGCUUGUCGCGUCGAAUGUGAAAACCCACAGCUCAACUGUGGGCUUGCAUUCGAUACGGGCAGGCUAGAGUUCGGUAGGGGAGACUGGAAUUCCUGGAUGUAGCGGUGAAAUGCGCAGAUAUCAGGAGGAACACCAAUGGCGAAGGCAGAUCUCUGGGCCGUAACUGACGCUGGAGGAGCGAAAGCAUGGGGAGCGAACAGG
rnacentral:rRNA from 1 species